rnacentral:rRNA from 1 species
GACGAACGCUGACGGCGUGCUUAACACAUGCAAGUCGAACGGUGAAGCGCCUUCCUUUUUGGUGGGUGUGGAUGAGUGGCGAACGGGUGAGUAACACGUGAGUAACCUGCCCCCUUCUUCUGGAUAACCGCAUGAAAGUGUGGCUAAUACGGGAUAUUCUGGGUCUGUCGCAUGAUGGGUCUGGGAAAGAUAUUGUUUCGGUGGGGGAUGGGCUCGCGGCCUAUCAGCUUGUUGGUGGGGUGAUGGCCUACCAAGGCGGUGACGGGUAGCCGGCCUGAGAGGGUGGACGGUCACACUGGGACUGAGACACGGCCCAGACUCCUACGGGAGGCAGCAGUGGGGAAUAUUGCACAAUGGGCGCAAGCCUGAUGCAGCGACGCCGCGUGAGGGAUGGAGGCCUUCGGGUUGUGAACCUCUUUCGCCAGUGAAGCAGGCCUGCCUCGUUUGUGGGUGGGUUGACGGUAGCUGGAUAAGAAGCGCCGGCUAACUACGUG